CAGAGUUGCAAAACUCCCCAAACCAUUGUGAACCUACCCAAAGAACCGUUGCUUCGGCGGGCGGCGCCCGGGCCUUCCCCGGGUGCCCCUCGGCCCCCCCGCGGGCGCCCGCCGGAGGAUUUACACAACACCCUGUUGCUCUGUACGGCCUCUCUGAGUCUCUCUGUACUUGAAUAAGUCA
rnacentral:misc_RNA from 1 species